rnacentral:rRNA from 1 species
CAGCAGCCACGGUAAUACGAAGGGUGCAAGCGUUAAUCGGAAUUACUGGGCGUAAAGCGUGCGUAGGCGGUGAGUUAAGUCUGCUGUGAAAUCCCCGGGCUCAACCUGGGAAUGGCAGUGGAUACUGGCUCGCUAGAGUGUGUCAGAGGAUGGUGGAAUUCCCGGUGUAGCGGUGAAAUGCGUAGAUAUGCGGAGGAACACCGAUGGCGAAGGCAGCCCCCUGGGCCAGCACUGACGCUCAUGCACGAAAGCGUGGGGAGCAAACAGGAUUAGAUACCCCUGUAGUCCCUGUCUCUUAUAC